GAUCACUGGGCCUGUGGGUUCCGCAGUGAGUCCAGCAUCGUUUCCUGCGCAGUGACCCAGGCCGGGUCCCCAUGGGCUCUGACUAGAAACAUAACACCCUGGAAGGCAAGAAAUGGGGAGCUGCAUCCGCAUCCACAGGGUCCCACCAGCCGGGAACAUCCCCACUGGCCUGGAAUUCCACCCCAGGCACCCCGCUGAUCCUGGGCCCGUCCCUGUGACCAGGAGAUGGAGUCCAGGGACUCUCCAGGCCUGGGCCAUGCGACUGCCCUAAGAGCCUGGCAUCAGGGAGCGGUGCUGUGUGCACCCCCAGGUCCACUGAGAGUAGGGAGGGGGCUUCCCCACGGGUAGGUGGGGAUGGAGGGUGGUCCGAAGAUCAGGAGACGGAGCCCUGCCCCGCUUCGCAGAGGACUGCCGUAAUGAGGAGUUGAGGAUUAAGGAGUACAGAGAACUCCAAAGAACAUGAGAGAAGCUCAUACAGGUGCCGGCACUGAAGAAGCCACCAGCCCAGCACCACCCUACAAGAGGGCCCAGCCCAGACCUUCCAACCCAGCCCACUGGAGCUGGCUUAGCCGCACCUUUUCUCCUGCCAGGCCUCCUCGGCGCCCUCUGCUCACUGUGCUCAACACUGCGCUGGCUGACAUGGGAGAGAUGUUGCCGGGCCCAGAUGCAUUUCCACCGAGCAGACAACGCAGGGCAGCUUUGGAACCCAGAGGCAAUAAAUCAAUAGCCA